rnacentral:rRNA from 1 species
UAUCUCUGUAGAGUCUGCAUAUCAAUAAGCGGAGGAAAAGAAACUAACAAGGAUUCCCUUAGUAACGGCGAGUGAAGCGGGAAGAGCUCAAAUUUGAAAUCUUCAAGGUUCUACCUUGACGAAUUGUAGUUUAAAGAAGUGUUUUCUGUUAGAUGAGUAGGCAAAAGUUCCUUGGAAUAGGGACAUCAUAGAGGGUGAGAAUCCCGUAUUUGACCAUUAUUUCCAGCUUUGUGAUACACUUUCAAAGAGUCGGAUUGUUUGGGAAUGCAGUCCAAAAUGGGUGGUAAAUUUCAUCUAAAGCUAAAUACUGGCGAGAGACCGAUAGCGAACAAGUACCGUGAGGGAAAGAUGAAAAGAACUUUGAAAAGAGAGUUAAACAGUACGUGAAAUUGUCAAAAGGGAAGCGUUUGACACCAGUGUUGUUUUUCCGAAAAUCAAUUAAGAAUGGCUUGAUUCUGUGUUGUAUUGACCUUAUCAGCUUUCUGCACUUUUUUCGAGUCUUUCUUAAUGCACUUUUCGGUUAACAAGUCAACAUCAAUUUCUUUUGUUGUAAAAGAGUAUUCGGAAGGUGGCUUUCUUUUCGGAGAAAGUGUUUAUAGCCCUAUACUUCUACAAUCGGAGAGAUUGAGGUCUGCAGCGUAGAUCCUUCGGGGUUAGAUACACUUGUGCUAAGUUGUAGCUUUUCAUAGACAACUUGUUGACUAUGUUUAGUCAUGCGGCUUACUCGCUUGUGCUAUUUUACCUACGCUUAGGAUGUUGAAGAUGUAGCACAUCA